CGCUGCUCCCCGCUGCGGGCAGAUGCGUCCUCGCCAACCUUCAGUCCCAGGAUCGCAGUGAGUUUUUCCAAUAUGAAAAUGGUUUCAUUUCUUUCCCCCUAAUCCAUCUUUUUCCUUCGUCCUUCCUCGCUCAUUCCUCGCUUUUCUUGGCUUUAAACCCGGUCCCCUGAAGAGCCAGGUGGUUCCGGCAGCCUCUCCGCGCUCCCGCCUGCCGGAUCCGCCCCAGUGCAGCCCUGGAACCCGCUUUCCCGACCCUCGGGGCGCGCCCCAAGGACCCGCGCGCCCUCACCCCCGCCGGCCCUGCGGCCCCGGGCCACGGAUGUCGCCUCGGAUCCCACCGAAAACCGCCAAGACGCUUUUCUUUGCCUUCCAGAAUCCGAUUCCGAUUGGGUAAAUGAUCACAUCAGGCUUGGAAACUGGCAGCCCUAUGCAUAAGGAAAGGCAUGUGACCUGGCAGUGGUACUAGGACAUAAUAAGAUCUGAAACUAUCAAUUAUUUCAUGACAUAAGGCUAUAGGGAGGGUUGGAGGAGGUUUGCAGGACUUGUUUUGAAGGCAGCACUCUGAAGAAGGGGAAAGGGAGUUGGCAUUAUGUUCAAGGAAGAGAUGAAGAUCAUGGUGAAAAGUUCAUUCAUAACCAGGAAGAUUCAUGAUUUGUCCCACUAUUGAGAAAAUGCUGUCUCACUGCCUCAGCCCUGGCUCCUUGGGGAGACUUGCUGGCAGACACAACAAACAUGUUGCCUAUAGUCAACUCUACCAACUGCAGACAUUCACUUGGGAAUGAAGAGCAGAAACAUCUUAUCACUAAACCUAAAUAUAUCCAUAUUCAUAUAUAUAUAUGGAGUCUAUGAUGCAUGAACUCCAACUCACAGCUUAAGUAAGCCCUUUCUAUUAGCAGCCCAAUUUGCUUUCCUGGACAAAUGUCAAGACUCAAGGGGAAACCGCUUACCCACAAAGACUGGAUUUCUGCAGUUCUCCAGCAUCACAUCUCUGUAUAAGUCCCUCUAAAUGGAGUCUGGGUGCCACUUUUCCUCCCUAAAAUAUAUUGCCACAUCUUGAAAAAAAAUCAAAGCCCUCCCCCACAAAAAAACAGACAAUACUUGUUCAGCAGAAGUUUUAGAACAAGCGAGAGGCAUGCAGGUAGUGCCAGCGAAUAAAGCUCUGAACACAUGAAGUCAAGGCAAGU
rnacentral:lncRNA from 1 species